rnacentral:lncRNA from 1 species
CGAAUCAAUGUGGCCCACGCCGCGGUCAUCGGGCAUAAUAUUAUUUUAUUUUUAUUUGGAGACCAGACGUCGUCGCGCCGCUUAUUCCGUCCGUGUUACACUGUUCGCCGUCCGUUCCGAAAAAACCGCGUACGCCGCGGCGACGCGCGCGUUGAUAAUUAUCGCGUUACACAGUUUAUUAUAAUUAAUAGUGAAUGCGUUUUUAUUUAAUGGAUUUUAACGCCGGUUAAUAAAUCACGAUUCGUGCCGGGGAUUCCGCGAAAAGUGAAUUUUAUUUAAUUAUUUAUUUCGUUGUUUGUUUGUUUUUUUUUUUUUUUCAUAUUAUAAAAUUUACGGUAUAACGUAAAAUUCGUGAAAAAAAAAAAAAAAAAAAAAAAAGAAUCAUGAAAACGAAUUCGGUUUUGAAACGCUUUUUUGUGUCCACGCGCAUUUUACGGUAGGUAAGUAUUUUUAACGAAAUUGCCGUUGUUUUUUUUAUUAUUAUUAUUUUUACUAUUAUUAUUAUUAUGUGAUUAGACGCGGGUUCGGCAAAAACGGACGAGUAAAUUUUCGGCAUUUUUUUUUUUUCUAUUAAUUUAAUUUUACAAUUUUUUCUCGCGUAUACGAUUUUUUUUUUUUUGUUUUUUUAAGAUUCUGAACGUAGCGGUUUUACUAAAAUCUACGCGUAUACAUUUGUUUUUUUUUUUUUUUUUAUUCUGUUAACGACUUUUCUACCAGAAAUCUUGCUCCGAUCGAAUUACCUAUGUUAUAUACGAUACGAGUCCAUAGCCACGGUUUAUUAGAGAGGUAAUUUUUUUUUUUUAAUUUUGAUUUUCCAAAUGUAACAAUCGGUGAAAACUGUCAGUUUUUCGUAAAAUUUUCGUCGGUUUCCGGACUAUCAAUACCCCCAAAGAUACAAUACAGGUUAGGUUAUAGCGGGUUAUGCGACCGAUGUUCAGAAUCGUUUUCCGUUAGUGCGCUAAUAUAAAUCGUUGCGUCGGUUCGUCAUCGUUGCGCAUCACGGACGUAAAUCGAAUUGACUUUUAAAAACGAAUAACAUAAUUCUACGUGUAGGUGUUACAUACAACUUUAUAACAUUAUACCGUCAUCAACUUUUAACGUUUCAUAAUUCUUCACAGUUUACUGCGAUUUUUUCCCGUGCGAAACCGUUACGUCUGAGACAUGAAUUUAUUCUGGCCAAGCGAAUAUUGUGUAACAACAACGUUAGUCGGCUCAGAAUAAAAUCACGUUUCAGAAGUAUCAAUAUUUAGGCUGGAAACGAUGAUCCGUUUUAAGCAGACGUAAGGACAUUGCAUUGGGUUUAUACGGCUUUACGUAUAAAUUAAAUAUAAAAAAAAAGGCAGGUGCGCUAAAUUAUAAAAGAUGAAAUACUGCGUGUUUCGAUAGUGAUAACUCGGAAAUCGUAAUUUUUUAGUCGAGUCAGUACUGCGUUUAGGGGUGCGAUAUAGUAUGACGUUUGUAUCGGAGACGGGGAAAUUUAAACAGAAAUAAAUAAUAAAACAGAUUAGAUAAACGAUAAAAAUGACGUAAAAUAAAAUGCGUAAUUAUAGUAUAAAUACAUUUUUAGGUUAUUAAAAAUCCGAAAACGGCCGUUUAUAAACCAAAUUUUUUCUCAUUAAAUAAACCGGAACGAACAUUUCGACGGGCGCGCAGUGUAUACAUUAUAAUUAUUAAGGUUCGGAUGUUUAUGCAUUUGAAAUGACUGUAACAUAUUGUAUACGUUUAUGUACAUUAAAAAAAUACCGAUCACGCGUUAAAAAUCGUAAAAGAUUUGCAUUUUUAGUUUAAAAACAAAACACCGAAAUUUUGAUGAAAAAAAAUUUAAAAAAAUGUAUUUAAUUUUUAUUAGUAGUUAAUUUCUUUUUUUUUUUUUCUUUUUAUUUAUUAAAUAUUAGUUUACAAUAAAAGUGCAGUUACAGUAGCGCGUGUUAUAAUGGUUUAUUUUCAAUUCGUUCAUAUUGUACGUUUUUUUUUUUUUUUUUUUUUGCUUUAUUUUUCGUUAUUAAUUUAAAUUAUUUAAAAAAAAAAAAAUAAAAGUUCGAAAAUGUACUGAAAUAUAGGUACAUGUAUUCGUAUUUUUAAAAUCCAAAAACAUGUUUUUAAAACACAAAAGCAUAAUAGAUAUGCAAAAGUAUGCGAAAUAAAUAAAUAGUAUUAUUUGAUUCAGUAUAGAAUACGUGAAUCGAAUUUGUAGCCGGGUCAGCAUAUUGAAUUGCAGGAUUAACAGAAAAAAUUACGCAGUCUCGUAAAAACAUCCGAACCCCGUGAUUAUUAUAAUAAUAUUAUAUAUAUUUAAAAAUAUUGGCUUCCCUUGUAGGCGAACAAUUAAAUGCGUCAAUAAUACACCAGAAAUCGACCGGAGCCCUUCUUCACCCGACCACUCGCCUCCGCCGGGGGGGGGGGGGCCAAAGACCCGCACGCAAUGAAAAUAACCACGUCGCCGUUUCGGGGGAUUAAAUACAACACGUUUUGUUGUAUUCUCGUUAUAGAUUCUGAACGGAGCGAGGAACGUACCGUUUUUACAAUGAUGUUUAUUUUAUUUGUUUUAUGUGUUCACACUUUUUCUACUUCAUCUUUGCUCCGAUCGUCAAGUGUUAUAGCGUAUUUUCUGAACGGAAAUAUUCUCCGGGCGGUCAUUUAGAGAAGUCGUUUUUUUCGAAAUUAUCAUUAAUAUUCGAGAUAACGAGGAAAACCCGUUUCUUUAGGUUAAAAACAAGGUCGUUGUCACUGGCGACCGUUUUUAUUUAUUUUCGCGUUACUAUUAAGUUUUUAUUAUUUCAAUAUUUUUUAAACAAUCAUCGUCGCCACGGCAACGCGCAUUGUUCUAAUCGUUUUACCGCGACAUUAUGACAUGCAUAUUAUAUUACAUUGUCGGCGAAGCAACGCGCUAUCAAUCACCGAACUCCGUCCAGAAUCGUUUUUGUUAUUACCGUCAGGCAGCAUGGUUCGUCGUCGCUCACAGACACGCAUUAAAUGCCCGUCUGUGUCCUACCUUCCCGACUUCCCGCCCGCGACAGUGGCUGCGCGCCCGCGUGCGAAAAAUGUCCGUCAUUUUUUUUUUUUUUUUUUUGCUCUUUUAACCUAAAUGACAAUUCACUGAUCAUCGAUAAAUAUAUAUUGUAUUGUUAUUAACGUUGGCGUUCCGUUUGCAUUUGUCCAUCAUGUACAGAUCGCUGCUGUCGGAGAAACCGCACCGCGAUAGUUAUCACGUCGCACUCGUCCACUCGGAAUCCGUAUCACCGACCGAUGAUCGAUCGCUAGCAGCCGGCGAACACAACGGUAUCCCGGUGCACACGGCUGGUCCGCGGAAACCACGGCGACGGCCGACGACGGCCAAAAAAAAGCGACCGGUUUUUUACUUUGAGGCCGCUGCGAUAUUAUGCCAAAUACCUGCGGUCGGGUGCAGUGGCGACGACGGCGGCGGCCUACUGCGG